GACCGUGCGAAGGUAGCAUAAUCAUUAGUUUUUUAAUUGGAGGCUAGAAUGAAUGGUUGGACAAGAAAUAAUCUGUCUUAAAUUAAUAUAUUGAAUUUAACUUUUAAGUGAAAAGGCUUAAAUAAUUUGAAGGGACGAUAAGACCCUAUAAAACUUUAUAUUGAAAAGUGGUAGAUAUAUUUUGUUUAAAAAUUAUUACUUUAAAGUAUUUGGUUGGGGUGACAGGAAUAGAAGAGAAAGUAACUGUUUUUUUUUUUUACAAUAAUGUUUGGGCUAGUGAUCCUAAAAUGGAUUAAAGAUUAAGUUACUUUAGGGAUAACAG
rnacentral:rRNA from 1 species